rnacentral:rRNA from 1 species
UACGUAGGGUGCGAGCGUUGUCCGGAAUUAUUGGGCGUAAAGAGCUCGUAGGCGGUCUGUCGCGUCUGCUGUGAAAUCCCGAGGCUCAACCUCGGGCCUGCAGUGGGUACGGGCAGACUAGAGUGCGGUAGGGGAGAUUGGAAUUCCUGGUGUAGCGGUGGAAUGCGCAGAUAUCAGGAGGAACACCGGUGGCGAAGGCGGGACUCUGGGCCGAUACUGACGCUGAGGAGCGAAAGCGUGGGGAGCGAACAGG